AGUAACACGUGGGAAACCUGCCUUGAAGAGGGGGAUAACCCCGGGAAACCGGAGCUAAUACCCCAUAAGACCACAAGAGGACAUCCUCUAGAGGUCAAAUAUUCCGAUGCUUCAAGAUGGUCCCGCGCACUAUCAGCUUGUUGGUGAGGUAAUGGCUCACCAAGGCUAUGACGGUUAGCCGGCCUGAAAGGGUGAUCGGCCACAAUGGAACUGAGACACGGUCCAUACUCC
rnacentral:rRNA from 1 species